rnacentral:rRNA from 1 species
UUUCGACACACUAUCAUUAACUGAAUCCAUAGGUUAAUGAGGCGAACCGGGGGAACUGAAACAUCUAAGUACCCCGAGGAAAAGAAAUCAACCGAGAUUCCCCCAGUAGCGGCGAGCGAACGGGGAGGAGCCCAGAGCCUGAAUCAGUGUGUGUGUUAGUGGAAGCGUCUGGAAAGGCGCGCGAUACAGGGUGACAGCCCCGUACACAAAAAUGCACAUAUUGUGAGCUCGAUGAGUAGGGCGGGACACGUGGUAUCCUGUCUGAAUAUGGGGGGACCAUCCUCCAAGGCUAAAUACUCCUGACUGACCGAUAGUGAACCAGUACCGUGAGGGAAAGGCGAAAAGAAC